UGGUCUCAUACAUGUUUAUCAGUUUAAGCACUGACUCCACAAAUGACACUUGAGAAUUAGGGCUUGUUAAUGUUUUGCAGGCAGUGACAGAAGGAAACAGGCAUUAUCGGGAAGGAAUUCAGAUAAGGGAAAAACUUUAUCUUGAUUGCUGCUGACUUAUUGAAUUGGCAGGGGGGUUCAAUUUGGGAGGAAAGCUGUGACCCUAAAUGUUAAAGAAGACAGAGGAUUCUUUGUGGCACUGAAACUUUCUACAAUACCACAGUGGAGGAAAUGCCAACAUAUUAUAUAGCUGACCUUAUUUAAUUCCAGGGAUGAGAUGGUUGUGAAUGCAAUGCUCACUGUUGUGGAAUAGGUGAUUACAGUGUGCAUUUUGCUUCUUUCUGUAGAAAUAUUUGAAUCUUGUCUCAAUGCUCAGAGUGGAUGGAUCAGCAAUACGGAUUUGAUAGCAAAGCAACUUUAGCCCUGAGCUCAUGUGAGGAAAAUCAUUGGCUUUAUCCUCUUUAGAGUUAGACCACUGUGAUUGGGUAUAAAAUAUGGGUGUCUGUAAAAAUCUUUCUUAGCAAUUUAUUUCCUAGUUCUGUAAAACUGGUUAUAUUGGGUGUUCUCUAUCACAUUAUAAUGUAUUUGUGGAUUAUAUGUGCUGUAUAAAAUGAGCCAAUUAUGUUAAACUAGGAUAUCAGCCUUUAUUGGGUUAGUCAUUAGGCUAAAUAGAAUACACUUUAAAAUUAUUUUUUUAAAGUAAAUAUUUGAACUUACUUUGUUUGGAGUUGUGUUUUUAUUCAGAAAAUAUUUUAUUAGUGUUAAAUAUGAAUUGGAGGCUUUUGCUAAGCAACAAUCAUGUCCUAGCGUCAAAUCCUAGAAAAACUGACAUAUUGUAUACCAAAUUCAAUAAAUUACAAUAAGGUAUA